CAUAUUUUCAGUUUUCCAUUCUCCUAAGAACCUCUGGUCAUGGAGCAGGCUGCUUAAAUCUUUCCAGCUGCCCUGCUGAGGAGUGAAACAAGAGAGAAGGGAUUUUGCUUGUAGUAGGAGGGUCAAGGCCAGGUAGCAAGAAGAGCUCUCCCUACGGUCAGAGCGGGCAAAAUGAGCCAGGGACAAGGAGACUGAGCCUGAAAGAGUUGAAGCAACUUUCCCAAAGUUGAUAAGUGGCAGAGCCAGGACUGGAAUCUGGGUGCAAAGCAGAAGUAGAUAACAAUGUGGAUGAUGACAAACUUCCAAGAUGGAAAAAGCAUGUGGAGGAAAACCGCCCUCUGAUCAGAACACCCUUACUGGACUGUUAACAUGGAUGUGAAAUAAACUUCAAUUGGGUUCAGUUGAAAUUGUGAGAAACUGUGGGAUCUAUUAUAGUCAGUGUCACCCCUCCUAGGAAUAUAGUAAGCAUGGCA
rnacentral:lncRNA from 1 species